UGCAGUCUACCAUAACCCAAAGCCAAAACCCAAAUUGCUUCUCACUCUUUGCCUGCCCAAACCCCAAAUCCCAAAUUGCGCCUCCGUCCUAUCCGUGUCUCCCUUCCUUUCGACGUCCUUCAUGUUCUAACCCUAAUUUUUAUUUCUUUUGAAUUUCUCAAUCCAAUAAGAUAUUCAAAAGCUGUGACAACCGUGACAGAGGAGAUUCAAGUUUAGGGAAGUAAGUCCUUGUUGCGGUUAAUUUGCUUCAUUUUCACUGAAUAAAGCGGUAGAUUUGGCUCGGGUUAAAGCCGAAUGGAGAGCUAAAGAAGUUAUUCUAGCCAGGGAGAGAGCUAAGGAUGCGUUGGAGCGAUUUUUUGCCCUGACCUCCAAGAUUGAUGAAUUGAUUGACACAUCCAAAAUUGAACAUUUGGCAAAACAAUUAACUCAAACUUGCCAAAUUGGGGAUGCAGAAGGACAAAAGGAUGAUGAUGAUCUAUUGCAUAAUGGUCUGCACUCUUUGUGAGUUAAUAUACUCUUUAUUUUUUUAUGUUAUGUGGAAUGGCUUGAACUUUAAGAAUUUAUGUAGAUUAUAUGGUCAGAAUUUUCAGUUCUAGUAUUGACCAGUUAAUUUGUAUUUGUAGUAUUGACCAAUUGAUUUGUAUUUGUGAUACUAUAGCUCGAUUUGUAAUUUAUGAGUUCAGUUUCAAUUUUUAACACAAAUCAGCAACACAAUUGACAUCAGAAUCACAAUGAAUGUGAUUGGUACAGUCGUCCUGGUCGUUGGCCACAGGAGAAUGGCAACGACUUGCUAAAACUCGUCUUUCAAUCUCUAUAAUCAUCCUCUCUAAUAAGCAGGCAUCAUAUUUUUUUUAUCUUUAGUCAGAUCUAACACCUUUUGUACAACUUCAAUUGCCUCAAAUGAAAGCAUCAAAUAGUUUUCAAAAUAAUAAAGCAACUAUCCCAAAUGUAUAACCAUGAACUAUCUUGAAUAAAAUAUAUAAGAUGUGCACAUAUCAGAAGGAAAAUCGAAAGUCUGAGUAGAAAUGAAUUUGCUUGACUUGGCAACAACUAAUACAUUGUAGUUUAUUCUAUACAUUUUAAACUGAAGUGGAUAUGCUUGGGUUUUAGUAUUAUUGAUUGCCAAUAAUUGUAGAAUGUAUAUGCUGCAAAUAUUCUAGAUGCUAUAAAAUAGUGAAAAUUAGUGAUGAAGUACAACAUACUUGUUACAAAACUAACUUGGAACAUAUUUUAAUGACUGAUAGUUAAUGUGUGUAAACUAGGGAUGAUAGUUUUAGGUACACGAAGCGACAAAACCUAACAGCAACCACUUCGUAAAACCAUAUAUGGUUUGGGAUGGGUAGUGGGAUUUACAUUUAGGUCACCCGUUACAACUUACAUGCUACUCGUUUAGUAGGUACAAUUUUAUAAUUUAUAAUUUGUCAUAUAAUGUGCAGAUAUACAUUGUUAAAUUUCAAACUUGUGAACUCUUAAUAGUUAAUAGAGAAGCUCUAAAUAAAUCACAAAUUAUUUAAAUAUAUAUUUAUAUAGAAUAUCAUACUGUAUUAUAUAUUUUAUGUUGCAUUAUAUUAUAAAUGGGUACAGAAUGCCUCGGCUUAAUGGAUUAGAGGGACAGGAAUGGGUAGCAAAAUAAAUUGUAGCUAGGUUUAGAUAGGGAAACAAUUAAAGACGAAUAAUUUAAAAUCAGAGUAAAGUGAAUGAAUAAUUUCAAAAGCAAUGAAGGAGGUUAUAUAAGUUUCUCUAGCUCUUCUUAGUUAAUAUUUUGUUGUUGAUGAAUAUAUAUGUUUCCAAUGCUCUGUUUUUUUUAUGCUCAUAUAUGAAUGGGUACAGUAUGAUAGUAUUUUCUUUCAUAACUAUGGUAGAUUUUGAAAUCCAAUUAAUUUGCUACAGCUAAUUAAUUUAUAUCAUGUAGAGUAGUAGUAUACGAAUUUUUUAUAUGCCAAGAUGUAUAUAUACCUUAAAUCAAAAAAUCUUACUGAUAUGAGUUUUUUUAGAAUCACCACUUUUGUGAUGGAAAUUUUUAAAAGCUGUGCAAAAUGAUAGAACUCGAUUACGUAGAGGUUCAUUGACAUAGCAGUUGGAUCAACCAGGUUUUAGUCCUGAGUGCACAAGAAUGAGUUUGUUGUUUACUUCUUUAGAGAUGCGGGACCUGGGAAUGAUUGGAUCUCUUGUGAAUUCUUUGACAAUGCUGGAAACAUCUUCUGUUACUGCAUUUGCUAGAGAUUUUCAAUUCAGCCAACCAAUAUUUACAAUUUCAAUUUCUAAUUGAUGGCUAUUUCAUCAUUAAUUAAUGUGUAUUAAUACAUAUUCAUCUGUAUACUAACUCCCAAAUACGAUGGCAUGAAAACAUUUUCAAAUAUAUAUAUAUAUAUAUAUAUAUAUAUAUAUAUAUAUAUAUAUAUAUAUUUGCAUAUUUGAUAUAGUAAAAAAUAUAACAUGUUAUACUAAAUAUAUUGCAGAUUUAAAACCAUAUAAGGUGCUAAAUCAACAUACUCAAAAGAAAGGAGCAAGUAAAGUGGUUCAGUGUAACGUGGGGCUUGUAAAUGGGGGUUUAUGCUACAGGAGUCAUUAGCGACGUCUGUGUCGUCGCCAGUGAGGUCAUUCUCGACGGCGUGGCGUCUAUCGACAAUGGUCUCGUCAGCUAUGCCAUGAUUUUUUUAGUGUACCUUACAUAUGUAAACAAUUUUUUUACUAAUAUAUCAUGCAUUUUUAUAACUUGCAGAAGACGGUACACCAGAGAUAGAUGACUUGGCCAUUUGGAGUAGUGAGAUAACUGGCGGGACUAAAAAAAUUAGAUACUUGGUUUUUCAAAAUAUCAUGCACGAGACUUGCUUGCUUAUCCUCCUAUGGUGCCUCCGAGUAUAGGUUCCUCACCGCAACAAUCUAUUGAUCCUAAGGUAUUAGAGAGUAUGAUUGAUAAGAUUGUCCUUCGUUGAUUGGGUAUAUAGUCAAUGAACGAGGCUUCUAUUAAUGAUAGUACACCCUAACCGUCCAUUGAUAGUAUUAAUGAGCAUAUAACUAAAUUGGUAGAGACAGAGUUUACCAACUUCCUUCAAACAUUUACCAACUAUGAAUCAGUUGAGGUAUUUACUAAUAGCUAUAUUUUUAUCUUUUUCCUUCAUUAAUCUUUUUCUCCCUAUUAAUUUAAGUUCACCAUGUUCAUUUUUUCUUACUUCUCAUCUUAUUGAAAUUGAAUUUUGGUGUUUCUUUUGCAGCAUGAAAUUUACAGGCCCAACCUUAAUUUCCUUGAGAAAAAUGAUGAUGAAGUGAACCUAACAUGAUGUACACUUCAUUCCUUUUAGUUCGUCGUUAUUCUUUCAGUUUUCUUAUGUUAAUUAUUAAAUAUUGUAAGUACUAUGAUAUUUGGGAGAUCAAGAUACAAUAACAAAUUAUGUACUUAUCGUGACUUGAGCAUUACCUAUUUAUAUAUGGAGUAUUAGUUUUAAUUAUUGG
rnacentral:lncRNA from 1 species